CGUUUCCCCUCUUCCACGCUCUGCUUCUGACGUCUACAGCGGGUGCCAGAUAGGAGAUAAUAACUGCAACAAGUUCACUGUUAACUAGAGUGAUUCAGGCAUAACAGACAAUGAACUUUGCACGGGCAUCCAAGCUAUGUGUAUCAGUGCGGUGUAGUAUUUUUUCUCCAGAGGCAUCAGUGUUAUCCACAGGUGUGUCGCAAUGGCUUGAAAUCAAGAGGGGAGGAUAAGUGCUGAGUGAGCGCAGACAACAGCAACUUUGUCUUUCUCAAACAUCUUCAAGGUCCCUGUGGAGGGAUAAAUGGCCAAGAGGAGGUGUGUUCCCAGGAGAGACUCAUCUGGAGCUUUGUGGGGCUCCAGCGUGCGGCGACAGGACAGCAGGGCUCUUUGCACUCGCUGUUCCUUUUUCCUAUGCAUAUACCUCUUUCAGAUGUAACUUUAAAGAGGCAUAGGGCAUGGGAAAAUGGGGCUGCAGAGGUAUUCCACCAGGCAGACAGCCAUUUCAUCAUCCUCUCCGCAUGACAGCUCAAAGCGCUUGCACACACACACACACACACACACACACACACCGGGCUCCAGCCUGCCUGGACUGUAUAGAGGAAGACUGCAAAGCAAUCCUGACACACUGACCACAGGUGAUAUUUGUGUCUCUGUGAUUCGUUUUUUUGUAAUAUCAUAACUCACAUUUCAUCAUAUUCAUUCAUGAUGACAUUGUGUGUGUGUGUGUGUGUGUGGAGUAAUGUGUUAUUGCAUUUUUGCUACAUUACUGUUCAUUUAUAACACCUGUUUGCCCCUGAGUCAUUUGUUUGCUGUUGUUUCUGAAUAAAGACGUCUUGGCAUUAAA